CAAUAGCGUAUAUUAAAGUUGUUGCAGUUAAAAAGCUCGUAGUUGGAUUUGUGGCGUACGGUGGGUUCCGGGCACUUGUUGUCUGAGUAACUUGCUGUUGCCAUCCUUGGGUGGAACCUGUGUGGCAUUAGGUUGUCGCGCAGGGGAUGCCCAUCAUUUACUGUGAAAAAAUUAGAGUGUUCAAAGCAGGCUUAUGCCGUUGAAUAUAUUAGCAUGGAAUAAUGAGAUAGGACUUUUUUGCUAUUUUGUUGGUUUGCGCAAAGAGGUAAUGAUUAAUAGGGACAGUUGGGGGUAUUCGUAUUCCAUUGUCAGAGGUGAAAUUCUUGGAUUUUUGGAAGACGAACUACUGCGAAAGCAUUUACCAAGGAUGUUUUCAUUAA
rnacentral:rRNA from 1 species